rnacentral:rRNA from 2 species
UGGUCUGUUACUGACGCUGAGGCUCGAAAGCAUGGGUAGCGAACAGGAUUAGAUACCCUGGUAGUCCAUGCCGUAAACGAUGAAUACUAGGUGUUGGAGGGUUUCCGCCCUUCAGUGCCGCAGCUAACGCAUUAAGUAUUCCGCCUGGGGAGUACGACCGCAAGGUUGAAACUCAAAGGAAUUGACGGGGGCCCGCACAAGUGGUGGAGCAUGUGGUUUAAUUCGAUGCUACGCGAAGAACCUUACCAGCUCUUGACAUCUUCUGCCAACCCAAGAGAUUGGGCGUUCCCUUCGGGGACAGAAUGACAGGUGGUGCAUGGUUGUCGUCAGCUCGUGUCGUGAGAUGUUGGGUUAAGUCCCGCAACGAGCGCAACCCUUAUUAUUAGUUGCCAGCAUUUAGUUGGGCACUCUAGUGAGACUGCCGGUGAUAAACCGGAGGAAGGUGGGGACGACGUCAAAUCAUCAUGCCCCUUAUGAGCUGGGCUACACACGUGCUACAAUGGAUGGUACAACGAGUCGCGAAACCGCGAGGUCAAGCUAAUCUCUUAAAGCCAUUCUCAGUUCGGAUUGCAGGCUGCAACUCGCCUGCAUGAAGUUGGAAUCACUAGUAAUCGUGGAUCAGCAUGCCACGGUGAAUACGUUCCCGGGCCUUGUACACACCGCCCGUCACACCAUGAGAGUUUGUAACACCCAA